rnacentral:misc_RNA from 1 species
UUUUUCCAUUUGCUAUACCUUUGAACUGCAACCAAAUGUUUUCCUCAUAGGAAUUCUGUUUAAAUUCAAAGAUUUACUUUUAUGUUUCCUUGUUUAGGAGAGUGUAGGUGAUCAGUUGCUCUUUAUUGUAUUCUUACUUGUGUACAAGUAAUUGUGGUUUUCUGAUGUUGUGUAAUUGUGUCUUGUUGUAUUCCUUGAUUUUGACUCUUGCUCAUAGAGGUUAAAUAUCUGUAUGCUUCAUUAUUAUCCUUUGUUAGUUCUUUCACUGGUAUUG